AACAAAGGCAUAAAAUGCCUUGUCCAAAAGUCACACUUAGGGUUAAAAUAACCCUAAAUGGUAUUUCAUUUCACUCAUUUCUGUUGUAAUUCUCCUCUGUUAUGUGCCGCCAUGAUGCUUCAUUCCUUCAAGGGCUUUGAAUGGAGGUUUCGUGCAAGAUUUUGUAGGCCUUGCACGCACUGAAUCUGCCAUUAUAAGCAACCCUAGACAACGUCACUUCUGGAGCUAAGGAGCUUAAAGAUGCAAGCAUUCAACCAGGGAUUCGUCAUUCCAGGCAAUGACGGGCCGCUCCUCUUUCUAUAUGCUUUUUCUAUAAAUGUAUAAUUUAUUUUUGUAUUUCAUUGAACGAGUUAUUCCCAUGGCUUGUGUGGGACACUAUACCUUUGACAUUUAUGAAUAAAGAAAGCCAUUUAUUUCUCUA